CGCCUACGGGGGGCAGCAGUAGGGAAUUUUCGUCAAUGGGCGCAAGCCUGAACGAGCAAUGCCGCGUGAACGAGGAAGGUCUUCGGAUCGUAAAGUUCUGUUGAAGGGGAAAAAGAGCGGAGAGAGGAAAUGGUCUCCGAUUGAUAUUACCCUUCGAGGAAGUCACGGCUAACUACGUGCCAGCAGCCGCGGUAAUACGUAGGUGGCGAGCGUUAUCCGGAAUGAUUGGGUUUAAAGGGUGCGCAGGCGGCACGGCAAGCCGGCGGUCAAAUCGCGGGGCUCAACCCCGCCCAGCCGUCGGAACG
rnacentral:rRNA from 1 species